GACGGGGGCCCGCACAAGCGGUGGAGUAUGUGGUUUAAUUCGAUGCAACGCGAAGAACUUACCUGGUCUUGACAUCCCGGAGACCCUUAGGAAACUAGGGGGUGCUUCCAUCUGGAAGAAUCUGGAGACAGGUGCUGCAUGGCUGUCGUCAGCUCGUGUCGUGAGAUGUUGGGUUAAGUCCCGCAACGAGCGCAACCCUUGCCUUUAGUUGCCAGCAGUUCGGCUGGGCACUCUAAAGGGACUGCCGGUGUUAAACCGGAGGAAGGUGGGGAUGACGUCAAGUCCUCAUGGCCUUUAUGACCAGGGCUACACACGUACUACAAUGGCCGAUACAAAGGGCAGCGACACUGCGAGGUGAAGCCAAUCCCGUAAAAUCGGUCUCAGUCCGGAUUGGAGUCUGCAACUCGACUCCAUGAAGUUGGAAUCGCUAGUAAUCGUGGAUCAGCAUGCCACGGUGAAUACGUUCCCGGGCCUU
rnacentral:rRNA from 1 species